rnacentral:lncRNA from 1 species
ACAGAAUGAGAUUACAAACAAGCUCUUCUACCUAACUCUUCCCCUCUCUCCUCCUAUUUGGACUAAAACUUUACAAAGACAAUUUAACAGAGGUUUUGCGAGGAAAUAGCCAUUUGAUUAGUUGAGGGACCAAGUCCAUGGCCAAGACAAAUCCUCUAAUCCGGUAACAAGGUCAGGAGUCGCGCGAAUUGGUUUUGGUGCAAUGAUUGCAGUGCCUUGACUUCCAGGCACAGAUGUAUUAGUCACUGGUGGUGUACUAAGAUGAGGAACACCUAUAAGUGGUAAAAAGAAAACAAUAUCAGGUUUAGCAUGAGUCAGACCAUCAAGGAAGUUAACCUUCUUCUUAUCUUGAUAAUUAAUAUAAUCUACUUUUGUUAAGCUAUGCUUAGCCAAUUGGCUCAUUAUCCUCAAAAUAUUUAUCCUAUUGGAGCAGUCAUCAGCAUAAAUAACAAGAAAUAAUAUCAAACAAUAAAAAGUAACUUGAUUAAUUAAGAAGUCAUAGAGUGCAAAAAGACAAAAUCAAAGUGCAUCCAAAUCCAACUUUUUUUUAUCAAGGAUCAUUUCAAGAUAUGAUUUAGUGAUCCAAGGUCCAUUGAUACCAAGCCUUAUUGCUUCUGUUCAGUCUGGAGAAAAUUAUGUUUUUCACUCAAUUGGAUAAGUAACUUAGCAUAUUAUUAAUAAAUAAAAUGCAUAAUUAGAGUAGGCAGCAAGGAUAUACACAGAAAUCCCUAGCCAAACAAGGUUUUUAAUGUGAAAGAGAAGGUAAGAAAAGAUACAGCAAAUGAAAUUGAGAAUAGUGCAAGAUCAUAACUGAUAGUUGAAAUACCAACGAGCUAGUUAGUAUCACAAUUGACACUAGGCCCAAGUUGUAACUCUAAUUGUUUCCACAGAAGUGGCACACAUCCAAAUGAAUGCAGCUGACAGGAUAAUUUUACAACUGAUGGGUGAAAACUUCAACAAAAUACUUAGGAGAAAACAAGAAGACUUUAUGAUCACUGAUAGAUCGAACCAAACUUGCCCUUCAAAAUCUCCUGAAAAAGUAACACCUACAAAAUAAAAUCUUAGGGACCAUUUAUCAAACAGUAGAAUAGAACCCAUUCGAAUUUCAGGGGAAAUUACAAGAGAAAGCUGCUAGGAAAUUGAAUAAGUAAACAGCUCUGGUAUGCAUUGCUUUAUCACGUUUCUGAUAAAACUUGUGUUCAAGAUCAAUCAUUGAGUUAAAAUUGUACUGUCAUAAUAGAAAGACAUAUACUUAAGUACCUGGUGGUCAGUAUAAUCCCCUAAAGGACAAAUUCGGUGGGGAGAUGCCACAAUUCGAACUUCCUUUUUCAUAACGCCUGCCAUGUUAGAAACUCUCUGUCUCACUUCAGCUACCUGCAGGUUGCACAAGAAUGAAUCACGACAUUUGAAAGAGUAUUGAAUCAGACUGGAUGUUUAAUCGAAAAGGCAAUUUUCACUUUUCAUUCUACAUUCUUAUUAUAUAUAUGUUUUUACGAAUUAUUCCACCACCACUGAAAUAUACAAUUCCUUAUUGAUUCUUAAAAUGCUCAGUAAACUCAACAGUAAACGAUCUUGGCAAGUUGUCAAAGAGUGUACCAGCAUAACCUUACAAAAUUAUAGGCAUGCUAAACAUUUACACUAUCAUAAUAUUAGCCAUUUUAACACAAUUCAGCAUAGUUUAACACAAUUCAUGGCACCAUAAUUAUCUGGUUAUCAAUCAAUCUUAUGUAUUUACCACAGCUGCAACAGAACAGAACCACAGCAGAAUGAUAGAAGUGCCUAGCUCCUACUGUAAUAAUUGAAAUUCAAGAGAAGUUGAAUGAGUAAAAACGUCUACAAGAACAUAGUAACCAAUUGUCAAAGACUCAAAACAGUUUUAAAUCCAUUCCACAAAAUGAAAAUUAGUAUCAUAUCACCAAGAAAUAAGAAGAAUCUAAAAUGAGAUUGAAAAAUAAAAAAAUUAACCCAGACCAAGGAGAGAAGAGAAUUAAAGAGGACGAGGAUGAGAAAUCCUUGUAAGAGCUUCCAACUAUGAACAAUAUAAAUAACUUCCAAUGCAAAACACAGUUUAGGCAUCUAAAGUGUGGAAACAAUACUACAAAUCACAAAUGAUUCAAAAGACACAAUUAUGACACCAUUACUAUGUACAUUCUCUUUGUUUCAAUUAGCAAAGAAGAGAGGCAACUUGCAAAUAGUGGAACCAAAAGAAAUAGCACUAUGAGUAUCAAUAACCUGACUUGAAAAAUACUAGACUUCCCUCCAAUACCCAUGGCCUCCAGAUCAAUUGCCAUACAAACAGUACUACUCCAAGGAUGCUAAAAAUGAAACCAAGUAAAAUAUAUAACACUAAUAAGUAAUGAAGAAGAACACAUGGUUCAUGGAAUUAAUAAACAAACAUAGAUUACAGCAGAAGCAAGUUUGACCAUCAAAACCAGUGCAUUCAGUUAUUUAUACCACACAAAUCUCAAAUCCAGCAUUUAAUUAUAUAUAAAAUGCAGUUAAAUAUACCAUCUCUAACAAUCAGAACCUAGAACCCUAACAACCAGAAACAAUACACAUUCAAAAGAUAAACUCCCAAAAUUAAAAACCCUAUAAUUGCAGAACCUCCCCAAUUCACAGAACCAAAUUUAGGAAAAACGAAACAUACCAUCUCUGUCUCGUUUGGCCAUUGUUGUUCAUCAUCAUCAUCAUAGCCACACACACCUUCUUCGACACUGAAACGAGAGAAGAAGUGAGGUAAUGAGCGAGAAAAAGAAGAUAGAGAUUGAAUUAGAGAAUGAUUACCUAGUGAGUGCACGAUGGUGAGCGACGAUGAUGAGCGCACGAGGCUUGCGACGAUUGGGAGCAGCGACAGUGAGCGCCCAAGGCGACGAUGGUGAGCGCACGAGACGACGAUGGCGAGUGGCGGUGACGGUGAGAGAUGAAGGAAGGUGAAGAACAGUGGUGGAGCUUAUGGGUGGCCAUGGCCCCCAAAUUUUUU